rnacentral:rRNA from 1 species
UGGUGGAGUGAUUUGUCUGGUUAAUUCCGAUAACGAACGAGACUCUAGCCUAUUAAAUAGAUUGUCGGCUUACAAACGCCGGCAAAUGCUUCUUAGAGGGACAGGCGGUGAUUCAACCGCACGAAACAGAGCAAUAACA